UAUGCUUUGAAGGAUGUGGCUUGCCGCUUGACAUUCCUUGCUGUGUCUUUAUCAGUGUUGCGUUGCCCAGAGCAGCCUCCGUGCCGGUAUUUAACCAAGGGAGGCACCCUUGUCUGCCUCUAGAGACUGGAGCUGGCGCUGCAGGGAGUCACACCCGCUCUGCACGAUGAAGAAGCAGCGUAAGACGGAGGCAGCACCGACCUGUGAGCUAAAAUCCUAUUCCAAGAAAACCAUGGUGUUGGGACCUGAACAGAAGAUGCCAGAUGGUGCUGCUUCUGAAGACUAUGGGGACUCUGCCAGCCUUGGCGCCAUCAACCCUGCCUACAGCAGCUCCUCUCUCCCGCAGUCCCCCGGGGGCUCCGAGGACCCCUUCACCACUUACUUUGACGAGAAGAUUCCCAUUCCUGAGGAGGAGCACUCCUGUUUUAGCUUUCGUAAACUAUGGGCUUUCACGGGACCGGGCUUUCUUAUGAGCAUUGCCUACCUCGAUCCAGGAAACAUUGAAUCAGAUUUGCAGUCUGGAGCAGUGGCUGGGUUUAAGUUGCUCUGGGUUCUUCUGUUGGCCACCAUUGUGGGACUCCUGCUGCAGCGCCUUGCGGCAAGACUGGGAGUGGUCACGGGGCUGCAUCUUGCUGAAGUCUGCUACCGUCAGUAUCCCAAGGUCCCACGAAUUGUCCUGUGGCUGAUGGUGGAGUUGGCUAUCAUUGGCUCAGAUAUGCAAGAAGUUAUUGGCUCAGCCAUUGCCAUCAAUCUCCUGUCUGUAGGAAGGGUUCCCCUAUGGGGUGGAGUUCUCAUCACCAUUGCAGAUACUUUUGUAUUUCUCUUUUUGGACAAAUAUGGCUUGCGGAAGCUGGAAGCGUUUUUUGGCUUUCUCAUCACUGUUAUGGCCCUCACUUUUGGUUAUGAGUAUAUUACAGUGAGACCCAACCAGAGCGAGGUACUCAAGGGCAUGUUCCUGCCAUCCUGUUCAGGCUGCGGCACCCCACAGAUCCAGCAGGCUGUGGGCAUCGUGGGAGCUGUCAUCAUGCCACACAACAUGUACCUGCACUCUGCCUUAGUCAAGUCCAGACAGGUGAACCGAGCCAAAAAGCAGGAAGUUCGAGAAGCCAAUAAGUACUUUUUCAUUGAAUCUUGCAUUGCUCUCUUUGUUUCCUUCAUCAUCAAUGUUUUCGUCGUCUCAGUCUUUGCCGAAGCAUUUUUUGAGAAAACCAACCAGCAGGUGAUUGAAGUCUGUAAAAACAGCAGCAGCCCCCAUACUGGCCUUAUUCCUGAUGAUAACUCGACACUGGCUGUGGACAUCUUCAAAGGGGGCAUUGUGCUGGGCUGUUACUUCGGGCCUGCAGCGCUCUACAUCUGGGCCGUGGGGAUCCUGGCCGCAGGGCAGAGCUCCACCAUGACAGGAACCUAUUCUGGCCAGUUUGUCAUGGAGGGAUUCCUGAACCUGAGAUGGUCACGCUUUGCCCGAGUGAUUCUGACCCGCUCUAUUGCCAUUAUCCCGACUCUGCUGGUUGCUGUCUUCCAAGAUGUAGAACAUCUAACCGGGAUGAAUGACUUCCUCAAUGUUCUGCAGAGCUUACAGCUUCCCUUUGCUCUCAUACCCAUCCUCACGUUUACGAGCUUGCGGCCAGUAAUGACUGACUUUGCCAAUGGAAUAGGCUGGAGGAUUGCAGGCGGGAUCUUGGUUUUUGUCAUCUGCGCUAUCAACAUGUACUUUGUCGUGAUUUAUGUCCAGAGUCUUGGGCAUAUGGUUCUGUAUGUGGUGGCUGCUGUGGUCAGUUUGGUUUAUCUGAGCUUCGUAUUUUACUUGAUUUGGCAAUGUCUGAUUGCUUUGGGCAUGUCCUUCCUGGAGUGUGGGAGCACGUACCAUGUGGGAUUGACGGGCCAGCCCGAACUCUACCUUCUCAACGCCGUGGACGCCGACUCCCUUGCGUCCAGAUGACGGACGGCUGCGAAGACUGUAGAAGAGCCGUUUUCUCGUAGCCCAAGUGCCCCUUUACACAUCUCUGUUAGUUCAGAGAAGUAUAAUGGUAUUUUCCAAAGCACUUAAUACCUAGUAAUAAGAUCCAGAAACCAUACUUUAAAAAAAAAAUUGAUUUGAGAGAGAGAAAAACAUUAAUGUGAGAAAAACAUCGAUCGGUUGCCUUUGUACCCACCCCAACUGGGGAUUGAACUUGCAACCUGGGUAUGAGCCCUGACUGGAAAUUGAACCCACUACCUCUUGGUCCACAGGACAAAGCUCCAAUCAACUGAACCACACUGGCCAGGGCCAGAAACCAUACUUUAACCUCUGAUCAUUUUCCCAUGCUGCAUUAUGUAAUACAGUACAUUCUAACAUUCAAAGUUUAGGUAUAAAAAUAAGGACCAUCUAAUAUUUAACUUUGCAAGUCCCAACAAGAUAUAAUGGAGGUAUUCACUUUCUUUCUAGAAUUUGUAUAGUCCCACUAUGUCUUUUCUCCCCACUUUUCCCAUUAACAGUCCAACAUCAUUUCUAGGUCCAAAGCUUAUUUCCAGGAGUGGCUUAUAUUUCUAAUGUUGAAUCUCCGAGGAAAUGCUAAGCAUUUUAUUUCAAUAUAUUUAUACCAAGUAAUAAUAUGAGAUUAGAACUAGACUGGCACUUGGAAGAUUAGUCCACAUGUCACACACUGCCAGCCUGUGUGUGGCUUAUAUAGUUAGGCAAUCCCUCUUCCUAACCAGAUUGUUUUCCUUAAAAUUUUUAAAAUAAACAUGUAAUAUUUAAAAAUGGAAA